rnacentral:rRNA from 1 species
UGGGGAAUCUUGCGCAAUGGGCGAAAGCCUGACGCAGCCAUGCCGCGUGGAUGAUGAAGGUCUUAGGAUUGUAAAAUCCUUUCAGCGGGGACGAUAAUGACGGUACCCGCAGAAGAAGCCCCGGCUAACUUCGUGCCAGCAGCCGCGGUAAUACGAAGGGGGCUAGCGUUGCUCGGAAUUACUGGGCGUAAAGGGCGCGUAGGCGGAUAGUUUAGUUGGGGGUGAAAGCCCGGGGCUCAACCUCGGAAUUGCCUUCAAUACUGGCUAUCUUGAGUGUGAGAGAGGUGUGUGGAACUCCGAGUGUAGAGGUGAAAUUCGUAGAUAUUCGGAAGAACACCAGUGGCGAAGGCGACACACUGGCUCACUACUGACGCUGAGGCGCGAAAGCGUGGGGAGCAAACAGG